rnacentral:rRNA from 1 species
CAAGGCCUUGCGCUCUUUGAGCGGCCGAUGUCAGAUUAGCUAGUUGGUGAGGUAAAGGCUUACCAAGGCGACGAUCUGUAGCGGGUCUGAGAGGAUGAUCCGCCACACUGGAACUGAGACACGGUCCAGACUCCUACGGGAGGCAGCAGUGGGGAAUUUUGGACAAUGGGGGCAACCCUGAUCCAGCCAUGCCGCGUGAGUGAAGAAGGCCUUCGGGUUGUAAAGCUCUUUCGGCCGGGAAGAAAUCGCAUGGGCCAAUACCCUGUGUGGAUGACGGUACCGGAAUAAGAAGCACCGGCUAACUACGUGCCAGCAGCCGCGGUAAUACGUAGGGUGCGAGCGUUAAUCGGAAUUACUGGGCGUAAAGCGUGCGCAGGCGGUUUUGUAAGACAGGCGUGAAAUCCCCGGGCUUAACCUGGGAACUGCGUUUGUGACUGCAAGGCUAGAGUACGGCAGAGGGGGGUGGAAUUCCACGUGUAGCAGUGAAACGCGUAGAGAUGUGGAGGAACACCAAUGGCGAAGGCAGCCCCCUGGGUCGAUACUGACGCUCAUGCACGAAAGCGUGGGUAGCAAACAGGAUUAGAUACCCUGGUAGUCCACGCCCUAAACUAUGUCAACUAGGUGUUGGGUGGGUAAAACCAUUUAGUACCGUAGCUAACGCGUGAAGUUGACCGCCUGGGGAGUACGGCCGCAAGGUUAAAACUCAAAGGAAUUGACGGGGACCCGCACAAGCGGUGGAUGAUGUGGAUUAAUUCGAUGCAACGCGAAAAACCUUACCUACCCUUGACAUGCCAGGAACUUGCCAGAGAUGGCUUGGUGCCCGAAAGGGAGCCUGGACACAGGUGCUGCAUGGCUGUCGUCAGCUCGUGUCGUGAGAUGUUGGGUUAAGUCCCGCAACGAGCGCAACCCUUGUCGUUAAUUGCCAUCAUUUAGUUGGGCACUUUAACGAGACGGCCGGUGACAAACCGGAGGAAGGUGGGGAUGACGUCAAGUCCUCAUGGCCCUUAUGGGUAGGGCUUCACACGUCAUACAAUGGUCGGUACAAAGGGUUGCCAAGCCGCGAGGCGGAGCCAAUCCCAGAAAGCCGAUCGUAGUCCGGAUUGCAGGCUGCAACUCGCCUGCAUGAAGUCGGAAUCGCUAGUAAUCGUGGAUCAGCAUGUCACGGUGAAUACGUUCCCGGGUCUUGUACACACCGCCCGUCACACCAUGGGAGCGGGUUCCGCCAGAAGUAGGUAGCCUAACCGCAAGGGGGGCGCUUACCACGGCGGGGUUCGUGACUGGGGUGAAGUCGAAACAAGGUA